UACGUAGGAUCCGAGCGUUGUCCGGAUUUACUGGGUGUAAAGGGUGCGCAGGCGGUUUUGUAAGCCAGAUGUGAAAUCCCCGGGCUCAACCUGGGGAAUGGCAUUUGGGACUGCAAGGCUGGAGUACGGCAGAGGAGACUGGGAAUUCCUGGUGUAGCAGUGGAAAUGCGUAGAUAUCAGGAGGAAUACCGAUGGCGAAGGCAGGUCUCUGGGCUGAUACUGACGUCAUGCACGAAAGC
rnacentral:rRNA from 1 species